UUGCAUGUGGAAAUGCUUUCUCCUCAUUCCUUUUGGAAGAAGGAAUAUAUCCAUAGCAUGCUAUAUUAAAAGGAGUUCUCUGGGUUGCCAACUUUACGGUAGAGGUUUAGUAGUAGUAUAUUUCUCCUACAUAA
ensembl:snoRNA